rnacentral:rRNA from 1 species
GAUGAGCAUGCGUCCCAUUAGCUAGUUGGUAAGGUAACGGCUUACCAAGGCAACGAUGGGUAGGGGUCCUGAGAGGGAGAUCCCCCACACUGGUACUGAGACACGGACCAGACUCCUACGGGAGGCAGCAGUGAGGAAUAUUGGUCAAUGGGCGCAAGCCUGAACCAGCCAUGCCGCGUGCAGGAUGAAGCAUUUAUGGUGUGUAAACUGCUUUUGUACGAGAAGAAACACUCCUUCGUGAAGGAGCUUGACGGUAUCGUAAGAAUAAGGACCGGCUAACUCCGUGCCAGCAGCCGCGGUAAUACGGAGGGUCCAAGCGUUAUCCGGAAUCAUUGGGUUUAAAGGGUCCGUAGGCGGUUUUGUAAGUCAGUGGUGAAAGCCCAUCGCUCAACGGUGGAACGGCCAUUGAUACUGCAAGACUUGAAUUAUUAGGAAGUAACUAGAAUAUGUAGUGUAGCGGUGAAAUGCUUAGAUAUUACAUGGAAUACCAAUUGCGAAGGCAGGUUACUACUAAUGGAUUGACGCUGAUGGACGAAAGCGUGGGGAGCGAACAGGAUUAGAUACCCUGGUAGUCCACGCCGUAAACGAUGGAUACUAGCUGUUC